CCUUCCCCUCACAGUGAGGUGUUGAUGCGUUUAGCAGCGCAGGGCUCCCUGGGCACCUUGAUGGCUCCUCCGAACACCUCUACUUCCCGGUUGGUCCAGGGGGCCACAUUGCCCUUUGCCUGGGGGCCGUGCUGGCUGCAGUGGGCCAGGCUGGACACCUCGCUGGGGGUCAGGACCCGCUCCCAUAAGUUCCACUGGGAUAGCUCCCCCACCAGGGCCUGGGACGAGUCGAAACGUCCGCCCAGAGUGUCCUACAGGCAGGAGGAGGUGGAGGAGUGAAAGGGGUGAAAAGAAGAAGGGAUGUUUCAGAGUUUGGUCUGGUGGUAUCUCCGGACUUGGCAUUGCCCUCAGAGACUGGGGUUUGAUCUUCAAGUCCCCCACUUCAACUCUGCAUGUUCCUCUCAUCUGCCCCCUUUCAUUUCAACCCUGGGUCUAUAUCUCAAUGAACAAUAAAAUAUGUUCUCCUUUAAAAACAACAACCCCCGAUAGGUCUAUGCUGUUACUGUCUCUUCCACCAAUCACUGCUGACCUCACCAAAAUACCAACUCCUCCAAGUCUUACCUGUUCCUGCCCCAGGAUGAGGACUCCCCCAGGCCUGAUGUGGUGCCAGGCUGCCAGGCCCUGCCCCUCUCCUCUCAGCUUGCCCCCCUGGUAGGCCUGCCACGCCCCGCCUCUCUGGCUCCAGCUUACACAGAUGUGGUGCCAGCUGCCCCGGGACAGGUUCAGAGGUAACUCUGCCGCCUAGGGGUGGGAGGACAACAGUGCGGGUUAGUAUGAGUGUUAGUGCUAUACUGCAGGUAAUGCAGUGAUACCGCAUACUAUAUCAGCGUGCAAAUGAAGUAUUUCAAAUAGCAACAACAGCAAAUCAAUGGACAAUCAAUCAUACGAUGAAGUGGUUCUUAGUACUGACCCUUAGCCAUGUGUUGUACAGAGUAUCCUAGACUAAAACUCAAUAUUAUGUUAGAUAAAAUAGAGUGCUUUUAAAGUGCUGAUAUCUUGAUGCUUAACACACUGUGUGGAGACAUUAAACAAAUGUCCUCCUGGAAUACAUUAAGGCAGUCAUUUUAUUACAGUAACAUUUGGGGACUGCAGCAUUACUUUCUCAAAGGCACGGACUGCACUUCCUCAAGGGCACAGCCAGCUAGGUAGCUCUCUAUGCCUUCCAGGCAUUGUAUUACCAUAGUGACAUCAUGCUAAUCUACACUAUACUCCCAGCUCUAGCCUAAACGGUGCUUUGUCUCUGUCCCAAAUGGCAUCCUAUUCCCUAUGUAGUGCACUACUUUUGACCAUGCCUCCGGUCAAAAGUAGUGCACUGCAUAGGGAAUAGAGUGCCAUUUUGGUCGUAGACAUCAUUCCACAGUAGGCUCCCAGGUACUGUUAUAGCUACAGCUUAAAUUGUGCUGUGUCUAACUCAGCGUGCCCUAAAAUACUGCUACUCUGUUUCCUCCAUUACCUUGUCGUUAAUGAGCAGCUCCACAGGGGUGUGCAUGCCCUGCAGCAGAACUAGCUCAUUGGGCUGCUCCGCCACAGCGUAGGAGAAAGGGGUGCCGAUGCCCCCUCGGCGGGUCUCAGCCAGAGGCACACGGUGAAGGCACGCAGCUCAGGGAUGGGGUGCUGUACCACCGCGUACAUAUAGUUGGUACGUGUUGGGAAGGACAGCUUGUAGCCCUCGGGGCCAGCAAUGCGGUGGUGUAGGGAGUUGAUCCCCUGGUCAAUCUCCUGCCUGUGUCUCUGGGAUUCCUUUCGCAAGGCCUUCCUCUCCUUCUCCAGGAGUUCCAGCUUCCUCUCAAGCUCUCCCUCAAGAUCCUCCAUCCGUGGCCACUGCUCUGGUCCAUCCCCUGUCCGGGCCUGCCCUACUAGCCCUGCCUCACCCCAACGAUCAGGGGCCUCAGAGAGCCCACCACCACCUGCCCUUCUUGAAGUCACCGCAGUUGCUGCAUCCGUGUGGUUGUGAGAGAGCGCCAGCGGUCCGAUAUCUGACUUCAUGGGAGGGAGUGUGGGAGAGAGGGAGUGUGGGAGAGAGGGAGUGUGGGAGGGAAGGAGUGUGGGAGGGAGGGAUACCAGUGCAGUGGAGGUAUACAAUUGAUCAAUUAUGUCAUACAAUGGUAAAAUCAUGCAAAAUGUAGCCUACACAAUUGCAAAGCAGGUGAAAUAUAUUUACAUGCGCGCCGCACACACAGUCUUGUUUCAGAGGAAUAUCAUCUGCAGGCAGCAGGAGUGUGCAGCUGUCAACUGGUUUUAUCAUGGAGCAGCUCACAGAAGAAUGACAUCGGUAGCCGGUAGGGUAGGACAGACGUUUCAACAUAUCUACUAGUAAAUGCUAACUAAGGCAACAAUGGGUAGGCAAACCAGGUAUUGAAAAAGUUUGGCACGAAGUCUUGGUUUUGUAGAUUAUUUGUGAUGUGCAAUGCAGUCAUCAUGAGCUGUUUGCAUCGGGGGCAUAGGCAUGAGUGGGCCUGGGUGGACACAGGCCCAUCCCACCCAAUCAGAUUGAGCAAAAACAGAAAAAUAAUACAUUAUUACACAGUUCCACUCACCAGAUGAUGAUCAUUUGAAAGAACCCUUUCCUGCAGUCAAUGACCAAAAGCACCCUCUUUGGCCUCAUGGGUGGAAUGCUAUUAAUAUUUGUCCUAAUUUCAUAAUCAAUGAUUUUUUUUUUUUACUACAAUCCGGUGUUUCUAUGUCAAACAGCUUUGUUAUAUUUCAGUCUUCUGUGGUGUACAUACAGUAAAGUGUAAUAUCAGGAUGCAAACUAAACAUUUUAUACAUUUCAACUCUAUUUCUGACAUGGUACAGGUUUUUUAUUUCAUUUGUAUGUUUUGACAAUGUGUAUAGGUGUAUACUUUUGUUUCAAAGUAGAUUUGUUUGACUACCAAGAAUCCCUCUGUGUGACCCUGAUUAAGCCCACUGCAGUAAUAGGCUAACUUCUUGUUGAAAGUUAUUCUUGAAAAGGGAGAAUCUCCUGUGUGGCGCAUCGGUCAAAGGUACUGCAUCUCAGUGCUAGAGGUGUCACUACAGACCUUAGUUCGAUUCCAGGCUCUAUCACAACUGGACAUGAUUCUUAUUAUGGUGGCAAUUUGAUGAAAUAAAUUAAAUCAUGGUCUUGAAUUGGA